GAUGAACGCUGGCGGCGUGCCUAAUACAUGCAAGUCGAGCGAACAGACGAGGAGCUUGCUCCUCUGACGUUAGCGGCGGACGGGUGAGUAACACGUGGAUAACCUACCUAUAAGACUGGGAUAACUUCGGGAAACCGGAGCUAAUACCGGAUAAUAUAUUGAACCGCAUGGUUCAAUAGUGAAAGACGGUUUUGCUGUCACUUAUAGAUGGAUCCGCGCCGCAUUAGCUAGUUGGUAAGGUUACGGCUUACCAAGGCAACGAUGCGUAGCCGACCUGAGAGGGUGAUCGGCCACACUGGAACUGAGACACGGUCCAGACUCCUACGGGAGGCAGCAGUAGGGAAUCUUCCGCAAUGGGCGAAAGCCUGACGGAGCAACGCCGCGUGAGUGAUGAAGGUCUUCGGAUCGUAAAACUCUGUUAUUAGGGAAGAACAAAUGUGUAAGUAACUAUGCACGUCUUGACGGUACCUAAUCAGAAAGCAACGGCUAACUACGUG
rnacentral:rRNA from 1 species